rnacentral:rRNA from 1 species
CUACGGGUGGCAGCAGUGGGGAAUAUUGGGCAAUGGGCGCAAGCCUGACCCAGCAACGCCGCGUGAGGGAAGAAUGUCUUCGGAUUGUAAACCUCUGUCCUUGGGGACGAAAAAAAUGACGGUACCCAAGGAGGAAGCUCCGGCUAACUACGUGCCGAGCAGCCGCGGUAAUACGUAGGGAGCAAGCGUUGUCCGGAAUUAUUGGGCGUAAAGGGUGCGUAGGCGGCGCUGUAAGUCAGAUGUGAAAUCCCCGGGCUUAACUCGGGAGUUGCAUUUGAAACUACAGUGCUUGAGUAAAGAAGGGGUAAGUGGAAUUCCUAGUGUAGCGGUGGAAUGCGUAGAUAUUAGGAGGAACACCAGUGGCGAAGGCGACUUACUGGUCUUUUACUGACGCUGAGGCACGAAAGCGUGGGGAGCAAACAGGAUUAGAUACCCCCGUAGUC